UGCAGUCGAACGGUAACAGGAAGAAGCUUGCUUCUUUGCUGACGAGUGGCGGACGGGUGAGUAAUGCUUAGGGAUCUGCCCAGAGGUGGGGGACAACAGUUGGAAACGACUGCUAAUACCGCAUGAUGCCUACGGGCCAAAGGGGGCUUCGGCUCUCGCCUUUGGAGGAACCUAAGUGAGAUUAGCUAGUUGGUGAGGUAAUGGCUCACCAAGGCGACGAUCUCUAGCUGGUCUGAGAGGAUGAUCAGCCACACUGGAACUGAGACACGGUCCAGACUCCUACGGGAGGCAGCAGUGGGGAAUAUUGCACAAUGGGGGAAACCCUGAUGCAGCCAUGCCGCGUGUGUGAAGAAGGCCUUCGGGUUGUAAAGCACUUUCAGUAGCGAGGAAAAGUUAUUGGUUAAUACCCAAUAGCCUUGACGUUAACUACAGAAGAAGCACCGGCUAACUCCGUGCCAGCAGCCGCGGUAAUACGGAGGGUGCGAGCGUUAAUCGGAAUUACUGGGCGUAAAGCGCAUGCAGGCGGUCUGUUAAGCCAGAUGUGAAAGCCCGGGGCUCAACCCCGGAAUAGCAUUUGGAACUGGCAGACUAGAGUUUUGUAGAGGGGGGUAGAAUUUCAGGUGUAGCGGUGAAAUGCGUAGAGAUCUGAAGGAAUACCAGUGGCGAAGGCGGCCCCCUGGACAAAAACUGACGCUCAGAUGCGAAAGCGUGGGUAGCAAACAGGAUUAGAUACCCUGGUAGUCCACGCCGUAAACGAUGUCAACUAGUUGCUUGUAGCUUUUACGCUGUGGGUGACGGAGCUAACGCA
rnacentral:rRNA from 1 species